rnacentral:tRNA from 2 species
GGCAGUGUAGCUUAAUGGUAAAGCAAAACAAUCCAGAAACGAUGACGGUUUGAUUCCGUCCACUGCCACCA